rnacentral:rRNA from 1 species
AUGCCUAGUCGUGUGCUUCAGCCAAAACGAAGCACGGCAUACAGCUCAGUAACACGUGGCUAAUCUGCCCUUGGGACGAGAACAACCCCGGGAAACUGGGGCUAACUCUCGAUAGGCGAAGAACUCUGGAAUGAGUCUUUACCUAAAUAGAUUCACGUUAUGCUCGUGAAUUUGCCCAAGGAUGAGGCCGCGACCGAUCAGGUUGUUGGUGAGGUAAUGGCUCACCAAGCCUUUUACCGGUGCGGGCCGUGAGAGCGGGAGCCCGGAGAUGGGCACUGAGACAAGGGCCCAGGCCCUACGGGGCGCAGCAGUCGCGAAAACUUUGCAAUAAGCGAAAGCUUGACAGGGCUAUCCCGAGUGCCAUCCGCUGAGGAAGGCUUUUACCCAGUCUAGAACGCUGGGGGAAUAAGGAGAGGGCAAGUCUGGUGUCAGCCGCCGCGGUAAUACCAGCUCUUCGAGUGGUGUGGAUGUUUAUUGGGCCUAAAGCAUCCGUAGCUGGCUAAGUUAGUCCCUUGUUAAAUCCACCGAAUUAAUCGUUGGAUUGCGGGGGAUACUGCUUGGCUAGGGGACGAGAGAGGCAGACGGUAUUUUCGGGGUAGGGGUGAAAUCCUAUAAUCCCGGGAAGACCACCAGUGGCGAAGGCUGUCUGCUAGAACGCGCCCGACGGUGAGGGAUGAAAGCUGGGGGAGCGAGCCGGAUUAGAUACCCGGGUAGUCCCAGCUGUAAACGAUGCAGGCUAGGUGUUUGGACGGCCACGUGCCGUUCUAGUGCCGCAGGGAAGCUGUUAAGCCUGCCGCCUGGGGGAGUAUGAUCGCAAGAUUGAAACUUAAAGGAAUUGGCGGGGGAGCACCACA